rnacentral:rRNA from 1 species
UACGUAGGGGGCGAGCGUUGUCCGGAAUUAUUGGGCGUAAAGAGCUCGUAGGCGGCUUGGCAAGUCGGAUGUGAAAACUCCAGGCUCAACCUGGAGCCGCUAUUCGAUACUGCUAUGGCUAGAGUCCGGUAGGGGAGUGUGGAAUUCCCGGUGUAGCGGUGAAAUGCGCAGAUAUCGGGAGGAACACCGAUGGCGAAGGCAGCACUCUGGGCCGGCACUGACGCUGAGGAGCGAAAGCGUGGGGAGCGAACAGG